GGGGAGUGCCCUCUUCCAUCUCAACGCCUCUGCCAAGUGUUGUUACCGCUCUGAGCACCCCUGUGUCCUUGAAAGUCUGGAAGGAAAGCUUCCCGGAGGAGGUGUCCUAAGGCAGCUGGGCACACGACUGGUAGUGGGACCUCUCAAAACCUCUCAUCACCAAGCCUUGAGUGAUGGGGCCCAUCUUCAUCAUUAUCCUGAGGUUGUAGGAGGCAAGAACAGAAGGCUGCCGGGCGGGAGUGGUGCACACAUUCAAUCUCAGCACUUGGGAGGCAGAGCAGACAGAUCUCUGAGUUUGAGGCCAUCCUGGUCUACAGAGCAAGUUCCAGGUAGCCAGGGCUACGCAAUGAGAGCCUGUCUCAAAACUCAAACCGCACGCUUCCUCUUCUCCCUGAGGUCCUAAUGGGUGAUAUUUCUAUUGAGCCUCCAGGGUCCAAGCUGGGUGUUGCCUCUGCUCCACAAGGGAAGACAAAGACCCUAGGACUGUACCCACAAUCCCAUCCAAAUAUAGAAAGAGGAUGAGAACCCAGGCCUUCUACUUCCAGCCUUCUACCUCCUAGCGGCCUCUCGACACAUCGUAUGACCUCCCCAGAGUAUCCAGCCUCCGCUCUAUUGAUCCAGCUCCAGAUUUCAAACAGAUAAGGAAAUGGUUGGGAAACUCCACAGGUAGGAUUGAGGGACAGAGGAGUCAGGCUUUCAAGAACCCACAUCUGUUCAGAGCCUAUGGGCUCUGUGGGACAGAUGUUGGACUUCCAUUCUUGCCCCAUGGUGCCCACAGCAGCUUGCUCAGAGCAUAGUCAGUAGAAGCCAAUGCCACCCAUCUUGCAUGUCAGAGUUUAGGAUGAGGGUCAAAGGUCCUCUGUGAAUUUCCCAACACAAAGGAAAUUUGAAAACAGGGCUAUUUGGAUAGCUGAGGGCCAAAGAUCGGUUGAUUCUCGGGGUCAGCGAUAGUUUAACUAUUUUUCAUAGUCCCCCCCACACCCCCGCCCCAAUCCAGCCAAGAAAUGGAUCCCACAGGAUAGAAACAUUGGAUCAGCUUACCUGGUAAACUGCUAUCCCAGCCCCGACUCUGGCACCUGAGAGUUGGUGCAGCAGCCAGGAGUAGGCUGGCAAAGGUUCCUAGCCCAGCACAGAAGCUCUGCUGGCCAGCACCUGGACAAGAGCCUGAGUGCCAGGAUGACAGGCAUGCACCAUCACAGGCUCUCUCUCUCUCUCUCUCUCUCUCU
rnacentral:lncRNA from 1 species